CACGGGGGGAGCAAGCGUUGUUCGGAAUCACUGGGCGUAAAGGGCGCGUAGGCGGCUUUAUAAGUCGGGGGUGAAAGCCUGUGGCUCAACCACAGAAUUGCCUUCGAUACUGUAGAGCUUGAGACCGGAAGAGGUAAGUGGAACUGCGAGUGUAGAGGUGAAAUUCGUAGAUAUUCGCAAGAACACCAGUGGCGAAGGCGGCUUACUGGUCCGGUUCUGACGCUGAGGCGCGAAAGCGUGGGGAGCAAACAGG
rnacentral:rRNA from 1 species